UACGUAGGGGGGCUAGCGUUGUCCGGAAUCAUUGGGCGUAAAGAGCGUGUAGGCGGUCCGGUAAGUCCGCUGUGAAAGUCGGGGGCUCAACCCUCGAAUGCCGGUGGAUACUGUCGGGCUAGAGUCCGGAAGAGGAGAGUGGAAUUCCUGGUGUAGCGGUGAAAUGCGCAGAAUAUCAGGAAGAACACCCGUGGCGAAGGCGGCUCUCUGGUACGUGACUGACGCUGAGGCACGAAAGCUAGGGGAGCAAACAGG
rnacentral:rRNA from 1 species